AUACGUAGGGAGCGAGCGUUGUCCGGAAUUACUGGGUGUAAAGGGAGCGUAGGCGGGAGUGCAAGUCAGAUGUGAAAUACAUGGGCUCAACCCAUGGGCUGCAUUUGAAACUGCAUUUCUUGAGUGAAGUAGAGGUAAGCGGAAUUCCUGGAGUAGCGGUGAAAUGCGUAGAUAUCAGGAGGAACACCGGUGGCGAAGGCGGCUUACUGGGCCUUUACUGACGCUGAGGCUCGAGAGCGCGGGGAGCAAACAGGAUUAGAUACCCUGGUAGUCCACGCUGUAAACGAUGAUUACUAGGUGUGGGGGGACUGACCCCUUCCGUGCCGCAGUUAACACAAUAAGUAAUCCACCUGGGGAGUACGGCCGCAAGGUUGAAACUCAAAUGAAUUGACGGGG
rnacentral:rRNA from 1 species